ACUGAACAUUUCCUGGACUUUUUUGGUUGAAAUUUGCUUUGGUUCUGCUUUUGAUCUUCAUAGUUAGUCAGAAUUUUCCAAAAGUUCAAAUAAUUUCUGAUGUCUGGGUUACAAAUGGCCUAAGAGAGGUACAUCUUUGGACUUUAUUGAUGUGAAGCUUGAAUCUGAAGCAUGUCGGAGAUGUAAACCUUAGUUAUUGAAUAUCAAGUUGUGUUAUUGAAAACUUAUCCUUGUUCUACAUUAAAUUGUGUUCUAUUGCUUGAUUCAUUGUAUUUAUUCAUGCCAUGGACAUUACAAUUUGUAUUGGGGUUGUAUUUGGACUUUCAUGUGUUAUUUUGGUUCCAGCCUAGUUUAAACUAUUUCUACCGAGUCCUUGGAUGUUUGUACUGUCAUAGUAUAGAUUCAAUUUGGAUAAGUAACACUAAUUUUGGAUUUUGAUUAGUUCAAUCUCAGUGAUGUUAAGUUCCCAGUUAACCUCCAUCAAUGAUUUUGUUGUUUAGAAUUUCAGUUUUGUUUUUUUUUUUUAAUUUGAAUGAACUCAAGGGCUAUUGGGUCACUGUAUAUUUAAUGUCAAGAGUAUCCAUCAUUAAAUUUACUAUGUAAGAACUCAACAGCAAAUGACAGUAAUUUCAAUGUUCAA